rnacentral:piRNA from 1 species
UGCAUAACAAAAGAAUACAUCACAGGGAAC